rnacentral:rRNA from 1 species
UCUGGGAUUAGAUACCCUGUUAUUUAAAAUGUAACUAUAAAUACUUGAGUAGUAAUAGUUAUGAUCUUUAAACUUAAAAAAUUUGGCGGUAUUUUAGUCUAUUCAGAGGAACCUGUUUUGUAAUCGAUAGUCCACGAUGUACCUUACUUAAAUUUGUUUAUCAGUUUAUAUACCGUCGUUAUAGAAUAUUUUAUAAGAAGAAUAAUUUUCAAUAAUUAAAAUAAUAAUAUAUGUCAGAUCAAGGUGUAGCUUAUAUUUAAGUAAUAAUGGGUUACAUUAAAAUUAUUUAUAUGAAUAUAAAUAUGAAAAAUUUAUUGAAAGUGGAUUUGAAAGUAAAAUUAAAUAGAUUAUUAAUUUGAUUAUAGCUCUAAAAUGUGUACAAAUCGCCCGUCACUCUCUGA